UUAGAAAAGUUAAUUUUGAAUUAAUUUUUGUAAAAUUAAUAUAAUUUCAGUUUUAAUUGUUAAAAUAAAAACUGAAAUUGAAUUAUAAUUUUGAAAUUUGUUUCCAACUUUAAAAAAUAAAGAACAUUGGAAUUUGGAAAACUCACUGGGAUAUUUCCACUAAGAGUUCCUAACCAUCUUAGUCAUUAAAAUCCACCUAGUUCCACCAAGUAAGAGGUGUAAUUCAUGUAAGAAAUCCAUUUUCAUGAAAGUCAUGUAAUAAAUAAAACAAAUUGGAGUGGAAAUCGAACCUGCAUUGAAAAGAUUUUUGUUAAAAAAAUCUGUUUGAAGAAGUGGUCUUCAUCUAUUGAAAACCAGAAAACCUUUCUCGUCCAUUUUCCUAAUUCAAAGUUAUUUUGAGUCCCACAACUCAAUAUAAGGCACCAAGAGAUAGUAGGGAAGACCUUAUGGUGGUUCACAUCCAAAGGAAUGGAGGAUUGCAGUUGGAAUUUGUGAUUCAAGAGGUACUUCAAAGAUUCAAUAGGAAUUUCUGCAAUCUUGCUACCAAGUAAUCAUGUUUCUUCAAGUAAGUCAAGAACAUACUUUCUCUGUUUAACAAAGAUCUCUUUUUUUAAAUCUUGCAAACUCCAUUUCUAGGAAAUAUUUCAACAUUUCCAGGUCCUUAAUUUGAGACUCGCAUGCCAAUUUUUUCUUGAGAUCAAUUAAACUUGCUGCAUCAUCACCUGAGAAUAAUAUUAUCUAAAUAAACAAUCAAAAUUGAGAAUUUAUUAUUCUUCAAUUAUUUAUAAAAUAACAUAUGAUCUGCUUAACUUUGAAGAAAUCGAUAACUGGACACAACUUUUCCAAGACAUUCAAACUAAGCUCUUGUGGACUGAUUAAGGCCAUAAAGAGAUUUCAUUAAUUUGAGAUUUUUUUAUAGCCAAGGUCCUUUUCAAAACCUGGUGAUAAACUUAUAAACACCUUUUCCUCAAGAUCGCCAUUUAGAAGGGCAUUUUUCAUGUCAAGUUGGUAAAGUGACCAAUCUAAAUUAACUGCAAGAGAUAGAAAAAAACUCCAAUAGAGUUAAUAGCAAUAAGAGUCAAUGUUUCCUGAUCAUCAAUUCCGUAUGUCUGAUUGAAUCCUUUAGCUAUUAAUCUGGUCUUAUAUCUCUCAAUACUACCAUCAACAUUAAAUUUUAUGGUGAACAUUUACAACCCAUUGAUUUCUCAUUUUUAGGAAAUUCUACUAUUUCCCAAGUUCCAUUUUUUUAGAGCAUUCAUCUCCCCCGUAAUUGCUAAUUUUCUAUUUGGAUCAUCUAAAGCCUCAUGUUAUUUGGAACAAACAAUUCAUCUAUCUUGGAUAUGAAAGCGAGGAUUUACCACUGGUGGUGUUGAUCGAGCUCGGGAGAGGAAGAUUGUGGUGGAUUCUACAAAGAGGAAACCCUCAUGGUUGUGCCCAAAGAAGAUCUUAUUUCGUUAUGGUCAAAUUGUCAUGACAAUGAGAAGGAUUCAUGAUCUUACUGUAGACUUCGUUUUUCAAGGGUAAAUUCACCAAUGUCCUAUAUUUCCUCUAGUUUUCACAGAGAAUAACAUGCCUAAUUAAAUUUGGUUAAUCCAUGUUUCUGUCC